GACGAACGCUGGCGGCGUGCUUAACACAUGCAAGUCGAACGGAAAGGCCCUGCUUUUGUGGGGUGCUCGAGUGGCGAACGGGUGAGUAACACGUGAGUAACCUGCCCUUGACUUUGGGAUAACUUCAGGAAACUGGGGCUAAUACCGGAUAGGAGCUCCUGCUGCAUGGUGGGGGUUGGAAAGUUUCGGCGGUUGGGGAUGGACUCGCGGCUUAUCAGCUUGUUGGUGGGGUAGUGGCUUACCAAGGCUUUGACGGGUAGCCGGCCUGAGAGGGUGACCGGCCACAUGGGGACUGAGAUACGGCCCAGACUCCUACGGGAGGCAGCAGGGGGGAAUAUUGCACAAGGGGCGGAAGCCUGAUGCAGCAACGCCGCGUGCGGGAUGACGGCCUUCGGGUUGUAAACCGCUUUCGCCUGUGACGAAGCGUGAGUGACGGUAAUGGGUAAAGAAGCACCGGCUAACUACGU
rnacentral:rRNA from 1 species